UGAAACAGGGUGUAUACAGUUUCGCUCAUGUGGAGAUUAUUGUUCACUCUGAGAUCACAAGCGUGUGUUCUGUAGUGAGAAUCCCUUCCUUUUCCCUCUGCCCGGGUAGGACCCUACUUGAGUCUUGAGUGACCGAGAGUACCUUGAGGAUGCACAGUGGCACACCCCACACACCCGUGCCUCCACACUGCUGGCUACAUAGAAGGUGUUGGACCUAGAAAAUCCACGACCAAACUCUGGAGUGGCUUCUUUUUCAAGUGCAUGACUGGGGGAUAAGACCUGUGGGCUUCGCAUCUCAGGAGGAGUGUGGAGCGGAGGGUCUGGGAAGCGCGAGUGUCCGCUGUACUUGCAAACCUAAAGCUCUCCCAAGGCUUUGUACACUCUUUUUCAUGAAAUAGAUUAAAUAUUUUUCUCCAAAGCUG